rnacentral:rRNA from 1 species
UUCGGAUCGCAGUCUGCAACUCGACUGCGUGAAGGUGGAGUCGCUAGUAAUCGCGGAUCAGCAACGCCGCGGUGAAUGCGUUCCCGGGCCUUGUACACACCGCCCGUCAAGUCAUGAAAGUGGGCAGCACCCGAAGACGGUGGCCUAACCCUUGUGGGGGGAGCCGUCUAAGGUGAGGCUCGUGAUUGGGACUAAGUCGUAACAAGGUAUC